rnacentral:rRNA from 1 species
AACGAACGCUGGCGGCAUGCCUAACACAUGCAAGUCGAACGAUGCCUCCGGUCAUAGUGGCGCACGGGUGCGUAAGGCGUGGGAAUCUGCCCUUAGGUGCGGAAUCACUCGCCGAAAGGCGACCUAAUACUGGAUGAUGACGCAAGCCCAAAGCUUUAUCGCCCAAGGAUGAGCCCGCGUAGGAUUAGCUAGUUGGUGGGGUAAAGGCCCACCAAGGCGACGAUCCUUAGCUGGUCUGAGAGGAUGAUCAGCCACACUGGGACUGAGACACGGCGCAGACUCCUACGGGAGGCAGGAGUGGGGAAUAUAGGACAGUGGGCGAAAGGCUGAUGCAGCAAUGCCGCGUAAGUGAUGAAGGCCGUAGGGUUGUAAAGCUCUUUUACCCGGGAGGAUAAUGACAGUACCGGAAGAAUAAGCUCCGGCUAACUCCGUG